CGGGGUGUAGCUUAGUUGGUAAAGCGCCAGGCUGGGGGUCUGGAGACCCAGGGUUCGAGUCCCUGCACCCCGA
rnacentral:tRNA from 1 species